UUUGAUCCCUCUUUUGGUCUCGUGCUUCGUACGGACGUGACUGGCGCAAAACCAGACUGAGGACUAUGAGGAUGCAAACUCGCAAGCAAGACUUCGAUUAACUAACUGCAGCGCAGCUCGAGCAUGCGAAUGAAGAGCGGCUCUCACAAAAGCAAAGAGGCACGUCAGAAGAUGAGAAAGGAAGGAAUGGACGAAAAAGGAACAAACUUGAUUAAAAGCCGAUAAUGCCUAACCCGAAGCGGCGCACGGAAUUCGAUUUCCCGAUUUGCGUUCACGGGCGAACGCUCCGUUUCUUUUCCGACGAGAGUCCACUUCCCACUGAGGAACCCAAUGGAUUAACCUGCCCGCCGCUUGGUAAUUUUUAUGGAAAAGAUACCACUGCAAAAUAUACAUUUUCUUCUUUGCAUU